rnacentral:sRNA from 1 species
UGGUGGAGCGGCUGCAGAGCUACACCCGCCAGACUGGCAUCGUGCUGAAUCGGCCGGUUUUGAGAGGGGAAGAUGGGGACAAAGCCGCUCCACCUCCCAUGUCGGCACAGCUCCCUGGAAUUCCCAUGCCACCACCACCUUUGGGACUCCCCCCUCUGCAGCCUCCUCCGCCACCCCCACCACCUCCACCAGGCCUUGGCCUUGGCUUUCCUAUGGCCCACCCACCAAAUUUGGGGCCCCCGCCUCCUCUCCGUGUGGGUGAGCCAGUGGCACUGUCAGAGGAGGAGCGGCUGAAGUUGGCUCAGCAGCAGGCGGCAUUGCUGAUGCAGCAGGAGGAGCGUGCCAAGCAGGUAGGCAGGGAGAUCAUUCGCUGAAGGAACAUGAGCUCUUGGAGCAGCAGAAGCGGG